AGCGGCGGACGGGUGAGUAAUGCUUAGGAAUCUGCCUAUUAGUGGGGGACAACAUUCCGAAAGGAAUGCUAAUACCGCAUACGUCCUACGGGAGAAAGCAGGGGAUCUUCGGACCUUGCGCUAAUAGAUGAGCCUAAGUCGGAUUAGCUAGUUGGUGGGGUAAAGGCCUACCAAGGCGACGAUCUGUAGCGGGUCUGAGAGGAUGAUCCGCCACACUGGGACUGAGACACGGCCCAGACUCCUACGGGAGGCAGCAGUGGGGAAUAUUGGACAAUGGGGGGAACCCUGAUCCAGCCAUGCCGCGUGUGUGAAGAAGGCCUUAUGGUUGUAAAGCACUUUAAGCGAGGAGGAGGCUACUGAGACUAAUACUCUUGGAUAGUGGACGUUACUCGCAGAAUAAGCACCGGCUAACUCUGUGCCAGCAUCCGCGGUAAUACAGAGGGUGCGAGCGUUAAUCGGAUUUACUGGGCGUAAAGCGUGCGUAAGCGGUUUUUUAAGUCGCAUGUGAAAUCCCCGAGCUUAAC
rnacentral:rRNA from 1 species